AUUGAACGCUGGCGGCAUGCCUUACACAUGCAAGUCGAACGGCAGCACGGGAGCAAUCCUGGUGGCGAGUGGCGAACGGGUGAGUAAUAUAUCGGAACGUGCCCGGUCGUGGGGAUAACGUAGCGAAAGCUACGCUAAUACCGCAUACGAUCUACGGAUGAAAGCGGGGGAUCGCAAGACCUCGCGCGAUUGGAGCGGCCGAUAUCAGAUUAGGUAGUUGGUGAGGUAAAGGCUCACCAAGCCGACGAUCUGUAGCUGGUCUGAGAGGACGACCAGCCACACUGGGACUGAGACACGGCCCAGACUCCUACGGGAGGCAGCAGUGGGGAAUUUUGGACAAUGGACGCAAGUCUGAUCCAGCCAUUCCGCGUGCAGGAUGAAGGCCCUCGGGUUGUAAACUGCUUUGUACGAACGAAACGGUGAGCUCUAAUACAGUUUGCUAAUGACGUACCGUAAGAAUAAGC
rnacentral:rRNA from 1 species